UACAGAGGUCUCAAGCGUUGUUCGGAUUCAUUGGGCGUAAAGGGUGCGUAGGCGGCGCGGUAAGUCGGAUGUGAAAUCUCCGGGCUCAACCCGGAAAUGGCAUUGGAAACUACCUUGCUGGAGGAUUUGAGGGGGGAUUGGAAUACUUGGUGUAGCAGUGAAAUGCGUAGAUAUCAAGUGGAACACCAGUGGCGAAGGCGAAUCCCUGGAAAAUACCUGACACUGAGGCACGAAAGCUAGGGGAGCAAACAGG
rnacentral:rRNA from 1 species